UGAACGCCUAAGGCCGAAGCCAGCCUA
rnacentral:sRNA from 1 species